GAAGCUCUGCUUAUGAAACACAGGCAUCACCAAAGCCAAGCACAGGGCCCCCUGCCCACUGGAACAGCUUCCCACGCUGCUGGAAUCGCUGUUUCUAGGGACCCUGUCCUGUCCUCUCCUCUCCUGUCCGCUCCUUUCACCUCACCUCUCUUCCUCCCUCUGCUUUCCCUGCUGCCUCUUCCUCCUGGCCUCCUCUCCUCCUGCCUCUGCCCUCUUCUCCUGUUCCCUCUGUCUUUCCCUUCCCAGAUGGGCAUCCGAGUCCCUGGUGACUCAGCUCGCCUGUGUCUCCCCAGGCAGGUGCAUCUGGUUCAGUCACAUUAAAAAUAUAUCCAUUGGCCACACGCAGUUGACGCUUCAAUCUGUUCCCUGCCUCUGCUUUCCAGGAACAGGCUACUCAAAACCCAAAGGAGGGCUGGUGAGACCAGAGAAGAAGAGGCACAGACUCUGGGGCCCAGGCCUUCCAAGCCCACACGUCACACUUCACCACGCGCUCAGAAAGGAAUCAUCAGCACGCCCAGGGUCAUCCGUCUCUUUUGAAUUACAAGAAGAAAGAAGGAGAAGAAUGAGGAAGAGGAGAGGAGGUGGCACAGGGGAACAAGGCACCGUGAGCCCACCUCUUCAUUUGUAUGAGAGCAGCACUGUCACCAGCAUCCCUGUCUGGGAUAUGGGAUGUGUGUGUGUGUAUUCUUUUGCCAGUUAGAUCUUCAAAUUCACCCUGUUCUUCAAUUCCAGGAUGACAAAAGCCACUUGCAGGGUCUGGAGGGGAAGGCAGGGCCCUUUCUGGGGCCCCCUAGUUGCACCUGCUUGCUCAGCCCACACCUCAUGACACCAAUCCUGCCUUCCUGCGCACCACAGGGAUGGGGAACUUCCCACCCCUGGAGAGGAGCAGCCGCAGAGGUGGGAACAGGAAGGAGAUGGGGGUCUGGGGUCACACUGGCGUGACACAGGGAAACAAGACUGCUGCCCUCAGAGAGCUCAGAGCCAGGUAGCUAGGUGGCCACAUCACCGGGCCAUGCAUUCCUCAGUGGACACAGGUAACUGCAGUGCAGCAUUCAGGCAGGUGGAUGGGGCAGGCUUCCCAGGCAGACUGGCAUGGGUGGGUUCGCAAGGGGGCAAAGGCAGGAAGCUGGCAGUGACACUAAGGGAAGGAAUGGAAAACUCAAAGGUGGAGAUGGAGAGGGGCAGGCGAGGGCCAGGUGGUAACACCAGGCAAUAUGUCGGUAAUGAACUUUUUUUUUGUACCAGAAGUCGCACUCAGGAUCCUGCACUUGCCAGGCAGAUGCUUGUAUCAGCGAGCUAAACCCCCAGCCCCUAGAGCCCCAGCCUAAUCAAGUGCUCUGUGGAGGAUGGUGCAAGGUGUGAGGUCAGGCUGCUGCCCAUUCAAGGACCAAGCCAGGGGCCAGUGGGGAGGGGCUGGGUCACAGAAGCACUUGGAGUGCUAUGGGAUUGGCUGGGAAGAAAGCGGGGUGCGGGAGGGGAUGUGGUGCCAGCAGCCACAAAAGCAGGGGUGCUGGGGGUGGCAACAUGCAAGAUGCACUGCCCAGCACCUGGCCAGUCCUAGUCCUGCUCCUGCCCCUGGGGACACAGAGGUAACUCACUGAUUUCCCCCUGUUAUUUUUAGGGAUCUUUAUUUAAGGACAAGCUCGAUCUCUGUGUAAAAACCUAUAUCCAGAUGAAUUAUUUUUUACUAAACUGGGAACUCUUCGUUUUCUGUAAUACUAAAACCCAAUGCUGGGUUUCCUCACUUCCUUCUUUUUUCUCCAGCAGGCUUUGCUUACACACCAGGAUGGGUGAGGAUAGCCCUGUCCCUGCACAGGAGCAGGGAGUCACAUUGGGGCCACUCUGGGUGGCAGAGGGCAGAAGUCAGAAGCAUCAGUUUGAGUGUGUAUGAGUGUUUUUCCCUUGAAAUAAAUUUCCCCAUAAAAUGAAUGUCCUGCCUGAAUUAAUCUUAUUUUUAAAGCAGAGAGAGUCA
ensembl:lincRNA